AUGAACGCUGGCGGCGUGCCUAAUACAUGCAAGUCGCGCGAACAGACGAGGAGCUUGCUCGUCUGACGUUAGCGGCGGACGGGUGAGUAACACGUGGAUAACCUACCUAUAAGACUGGGAUAACUUCGGGAAACCGGAGCUAAUACCGGAUAAUAUAUUGAACCGCAUGGUUCAAUAGUGAAAGACGGUUUUGCUGUCACUUAUAGAUGGAUCCGCGCCGCAUUAGCUAGUUGGUAAGGUAACGGCUUACCAAGGCAACGAUGCGUAGCCGACCUGAGAGGGUGAUCGGCCACACUGGAACUGAGACACGGUCCAGACUCCUACGGGAGGCAGCAGUAGGGAAUCUUCCGCAAUGGGCGAAAGCCUGACGGAGCAACGCCGCGUGAGUGAUGAAGGUCUUCGGAUCGUAAAACUCUGUUAUUAGGGAAGAACAAAUGUGUAAGUAACUAUGCACGUCUUGACGGUACCUAAUCAGAAAGCCACGGCUAACUACGUG
rnacentral:rRNA from 1 species